rnacentral:rRNA from 1 species
UACAGAGGUCUCAAGCGUUGUUCGGAUUCAUUGGGCGUAAAGAGCGUGUAGGCGGCCAGGUAGGUCUGCUGUGAAAACUCGAGGCUCAACCUCGAGAUGUCGGCGGAAACCAUCUGGCUAGAGUCCGGAAGAGGAGAGUGGAAUUCCUGGUGUAGCGGUGAAAUGCGCAGAUAUCAGGAAGAACACCCGUGGCGAAGGCGGCUCUCUGGGACGGUACUGACGCUGAGACGCGAAAGCGUGGGGAGCAAACAGG